rnacentral:rRNA from 1 species
UACGGGAGGCAGCAGUGGGGAAUAUUGCACAAUGGGCGCAAGCCUGAUGCAGCCAUGCCGCGUGUAUGAAAAAGGCCUUCGGGUUGUAAAGUACUUUCAGUCGUGAGGAAGGUGUUAAGGUUAAUAACCUUAGCAAUUGACGUUAGCGACAGAAGAAGCACCGGCUAACUCCGUGCCAGCAGCCGCGGUAAUACGGAGGGUGCGAGCGUUAAUCGGAAUUACUGGGCGUAAAGGGCACGCAGGCGGUUAAUUAAGUUGGAUGUGAAUCCCCGGGCUUAACCUGGGAAUGGCAUUCAAGACUGGUUAGCUAGAGUCUUGUAGAGGGGGUAGAAUUCCAUGUGUAGCGGUGAAAUGCGUAGAGAUGUGGAGGAAUACCGGUGGCGAAGGCGGCCCCUGGACAAAGACUGACGCUCAUGUGCGAAAGCGUGGGGAGCAAACGAGGGAUUAGAUACC